AGGGAGUUUGAUCCUGGCUCAGGAUUAGAUACCCUGGUAGUCCAUAAUUCGGCUUAGAGUUUGAUCCUGGCUCAGGAUGAACGCUGGCGGCGUGCCUAACACAUGCAAGUCGAACGGAGUUAUUCGCUGAUGAAGCUUCGGCAGAUUCUUGAAUAACUUAGUGGCGGACGGGUGAGUAACGCGUGGGUAACCUGCCUCAUACAGGGGGAUAGCAGUUGGAAACGACUGAUAACACCGCAUAAGCGCACAGUAUCGCAUGAUACAGUGUGAAAAUAUUUAUAGGUAUGAGAUGGACCCGCGUCUGAUUAGCUAGUUGGUGAGGUAACGGCCCACCAAGGCGACGAUCAGUAGCCGGCCUGAGAGGGCGGACGGCCACAUUGGGACUGAGACACGGCCCAAACUCCUACGGGAGGCAGCAGUGGGGGAUAUUGCACAAUGGGCGAAAGCCUGAUGCAGCGACGCCGCGUGAGUGAAGAAGUAUUUCGGUAUGUAAAGCUCUAUCAGCAGGGAAGAAAGACCUCGUAAGAGGGGAUGACGGUACCUGAGUAAGAAGCCCCGGCUAACUACGUGCCAGCAGCCGCGGUAAUACGUAGGGGGCAAGCGUUAUCCGGAUUUACUGGGUGUAAAGGGAGCGUAGACGGUAUAUCAAGUCUGAAGUGAAACCCCACGGCUCAACCGUGGGCUUGCUUUGGAAACUGGUAUACUAGAGUACUGGAGAGGUAAGCGGAAUUCCUGGUGUAGUAGUGAAAUGCGUAGAUAUCAGGAAGAACAUCAGUGGCGAAGGCGGCUUACUGGACAGCAACUGACGUUGAGGCUCGAAGGCGUGGGGAGCAAACAGGAUUAGAUACCCUGGUAGUCCCCU
rnacentral:rRNA from 1 species